CCGUCGGGAUGGAUUAGAUGGAGCUCCGGCUAGAUUCCUGACAAUUGAUCGGCGCGGUGGGGUUGUGUUUUUUAUCGUGCGUAUGCAACAAUGAGCUUUUGUGUCAGCGACUACGGCUUUGGGGUGCUAUUCCUUGUGGGCACGCACACGAAGACUUCUCAAUUGUCAUCAACAAGGUCAGGCCAGCUCCGGUAUGAGAGUAGCGGUAACGACGACUUGUUCUGACGGUGACGAUGGUCGUACGGUGAUCCGGAGGCCUUGAUGUAAAUUUUUUAUUAUGUUGGACAUGCUUUAUACGAACUUCCCGUGAAUAGACUAGUCUUUAGAAAAAACGUUGGAGGUGAGAGAAAUUAACAGAGUAACAAAGUGUGAACCGAUCGGCUGAAGGAGAAUGAUCAAAAGCAACUCCACUAGUCACGCCUCCAGCCUACAUAUGACCCAGCUGUAGUCGCCGGCCUAGUCGGUCCCGUAGAUAAUUCAGCCAUUACCAUUCAUGUGCCUUCCUCCCUCCCGUCCCGUCCAUGGAGCGGUUAACCUCUCUAGCUCCGGCCUCUACAUAAUCUCGACGAGAGCGUGCACCGUCCAAACAAGCGUUCUCUGCCAGGUCCUUAAUUAGUGUUGAAAGCCUUGCAUACUGCGCGCGUAGUUUCUCCGCUGGCUGCUGCCGAUCGAGAUCCAUGGAUAGGAGAGGAGGAUGGCGAGGCGCGCGAGGUGGAGAAGCAGGGCACGUGCAUUCAUUUCCAGCUCGGUUCCCGGCGUCCGGCCGGCUGGCUGGCACGCACCGCCCCGGCCUUUCCUGGCUAGUGUGUCGCUCGAUCCGGCCGUGCGCCGGCGGCCGGCCCAUGCAUGCAUGUGCCUUUCUUCUCCACCGUGCACACCUCGCCUGCGCGCAUGCGCUCGCCCGUGUGUGGUGGUGUCAGCUCUGCGUGAUACUGGAAGCUAGCUAGCCAUCGACACGGCCCGCCGGGCUUGCAGCUGCACACGGCAGGAAGCUAGCCGCGGUUAUUUGGUGUUUUGGAAGCAGACCGCAGUCUGCAGCCAGAAAUAUAUGUUCAGGUGGGCCCUUUGACCUUGCUGGGUCUUCAGUUCACAAAAGAUACCAAAGUAGUGUACUUCAAAGCCACUUUGCAUAUAUCUUUAAAAUGAAUUGUUGCUUUGCAUAUCUUCUCUAAAUUGGCAAUCAGGCCGCUCCCACAACCUGCUUUGUUGUCGUAUUUUUCUUUGUUCCUGGGAUAACCCCUAGUCCUUACUUAUGUAACUGAAUUUCCUUUGCUCUCCCUCUGAAAUGCAUUGGCAGCACAACUGCUUUUACCCACUAAAAUAUAUUCUUUUGUUAGUGAUUAAAUGUCUACGUCAACUAUGUUAUGUAAGUGUGGUAUGUUUCUUUGUUUUCUUCAUCUCAUUAUUAUUUCUUACUCCCUUCGCCCACGACAUAUUUUUUGGUUCAGUUUUGGCAUUUCAUUGAUAAAACUAAUAGUCAAAGUUAAACUACGGAAUACAUAGACGUCUUUAACCAUUCAGCAUGAGUGGUUGAGCUAUCCAAAAAAAAGAACAUAGACGUUUGCUAACUACUCCCUCUGUUCCGAAAUAUAAGUCUUUUUAGAGAUUUCAAAUGGACUACCACAUACGGAUGUAUAUAGACACAUUUUAAAGUGUAGAUUUAUUCAUUUUGCUCCGUAUGUAGUCACCUAUUGAAAUCUCUAGAAAGACCUAUAUUUAGGAACAGAGUAGGACAGAUCGAGAGACUAAUAAAAAUAUAUGUUGCUAACUAGAUUGCUUUUUGAAAAAUGUUCCAGCUGACACAUCAGUCUACCCGUACGCAUGCAAUAAUGCGCAAGCUACAAAAAUGUAAACCGUCCCAAUUAAGGUGCCUUGUCAUUUCUGGUGAAAGAGAAGAUGCCGGACACUGCACCAAUUAAAGUGGCUGCAGAAGCAGAAUGGCGCAACCAACAGUACGGUGAGUACCAUAGUACACAUAUGCGACAUGCAUGUCCAAGUCUGCUGGUUCGCGCCACAAUUUGUGUUGCAAACCUCCAAUAUCUGGACCGCUUAACGCGUCGGAGAGCAACAGUAGGCAGCAAGGAGCUUCGUCAAGGGGUGCUCCUGUGCUGCAUGCAUGCUGGCCGAUGCUAGACAUGGGCAUGUGCACGUUGGCCAGGGCAGUCGAGGUCCCUGCCGCUCGUGAGUUGUGACGCUCCGUACGUCGGUGUACACUGAACUCCCACGUGUAUGUGUGCCUACGCACUUCGUGUACACUGUACAGUAUGUUUCAUGGUAUAGACUCCAAUACUGAACCAUGCAUGUAGUGCUCGAACCCCAUUGCCAAGGAAACUAAGAGCCUCUUAAUUCCUAGGGUUCAAAAAAUUGCAGGAAUGAAAAAACUUUAGAUUGCAA